GAUCGGCUUUGUAAGAGAGCUACUUUUUCAUUUUGUAUUGCUUGGCCGUAUACUUGUUCGGUUGUUGUUUUAUAUUUCUUUCGGCUCGUAAUACACUCAUGUAUUGGGAGUUCAUUUGGUUAUAUAGGUGGUAUAGUCGAGUUUUUUUAGUUAUAAAUUUCAAAUUGCGCUCUCUUGUGCUUCCGGUUCUCAUCUGGGCUUUCGCUCUCUCCCUCCUGCUCGUCGCCGAAAUCGCCAUGGCUCCCGCCUCCCGCCCGCCGACGGCGACGCCGCUGGCCGCAUCCUCGUCCCGGAUAGACUCGCCAUCGCUGAAGGCAGCCCUCGCAAUGGCUCUCAUCCACUACAAACGCCUCCCCUCGACAACCGCCGCCGCCGCGGGCACCUCCUCCCCGCCUCUUAUCCACUGGAAGCGCAAGGCUAAGGAGCGGAAGCGCGAGAUCCUCCGCCUCCGCGAAGAGCUCAAGCUCCUCCAAGAUGGGGUGCGAGGGGAGGCGAUGGAGCCGCCGGUUGCGUCAUGCCGCUGCCACUUCUUUGACGGGUGCAGCGACCUGCAGCCGCCGCCGCCAACGGGUGGAGGAGAACAUUGGGUCGACGAGGUGCUGCGGAGGAGGUUCCUCAGAUUGGCGCGGUGGAAGGAGAAGCGACGGAGACUGGAUCGAUCUCUUCCCGUCACUAGUUUGAUGGACUUCAAUAGCGAGGAUGAGAUACAACAGCUUAGCUUGUCAACUGAUUUCCUGGUGGAGCUAUCAGAUGGGAUUUUUGCGAAAAGAGAACCUUGCUCCACAUUUGGUACAUUCUCUCACCAAGCAGUAGACUUCAUUUUGGCUUUAUUGAAGAACAUUCUAUCGUCGAAAAGGGAAAAGGAACUGGUUGAGGAGAUAAUUGAUGGUUUAGUGACACGUUUGAUGAAAAGGAUGUGCACCAUUCCUGAAAAUGCUGGUACUUCAGAUUCAGGGCCAGUUGACUGCUCAGAUGCCCAAUUCAAUGUGCAGCACUUGUUCCGCAAGUUAGGAAAUGAAGAGUUCAUUGGUCAGCGGAUAAUCCUUGCAGUUUCUCAAAAGAUCUCAAAUGUAUCAGAAAGCUUGCUUCUCUUAGAUCCGUUUGAUGAUUCCUUCCCUGAUAUGCAUGGCAAUAUGUUCAUGUUGAUACAAUUAAUCGAGUUCCUCAUAUCUGAUUACAUGAAAAUUUGGCUAUGUUGCGAGCAAUUUGACAGAAAAAUAUUUGAAGAAUGGGUGAGAUCUAUUCUGAAGGCACGCAAAGACCUGGAAGUCCUAGAAAACAUAAAUGGGCUGUAUGUAGUGUACAUUGAGCGAGUGGUCGGAAGGUUGGCGAGGGAGGUGGCUCCUGCUGCUCACGAGGGAAAGCUGGACCUGGAUGUCUUUUCCAAACUCCUGUGCUGAUCACUUCCAGCCUCAGACUUGAAAAUGAUGCUUACCUACAGAAAGAUUGUCCAGAAAGCUGGCAUUCUGUAACAUCUGUUCGCCACUGAACAGCCAGAAUCAAGACAUAACCAAAGAAUGUUUAAUUAUGUCAUCUUGUGAGUGUGUAUUUACUGCAAACCAGUUUGCUAUAACCAAGAACUCUGGCAGUGCUCUGGGGCAUAGCGAGGACAGCAAGCGGCAUGAAAGAUAUGCGGGGGAAUAGUGUGAGCAUGCUCAAAUAGCAUUAGGUUGGAGACACAAAAAGUUUGGACAUGAGUAGAAGUGCUUCCGCUCUUGUUUGGGGAAAGAAUGAAGUUUCACUCCUCACCCUAAGGCAAGCAGAUGAACCCUAGCAAGCUUUAUUGUUCAAAUCAGUGUUUGAGGAGUUACAUCACCUUUCUAGCCGGCCUUCUGUUGACACCCUUGUCGGUAGAAUCAAAGUGAGGCCAGGCUUUGGGCUAGGGCAGGUGCCACCGGGCUUAGAACUGUCCUACCGACACCCUGGGACGUGCAUUAUUCUUGCUCCUUGUUUGUAACCUCUUAGGCCUUGUUCGGUUGCGGGUGAAUCCGAGUGGAUUGAAGGGGUUUGAGGGGGAUUUAAACCUCUUCUAAGUCAAAAUAUGAACCAAUCCCUGCCAAUCCCCUCCAAUCCUCUUGGGGAGAGGAUUAACCGAACAAAGCCUUAGGAGGGCUGUAACCUUUGUGUUUUCUCGGAAAAAAAACCCGUCACCUUUCCAGCCAGCA